rnacentral:rRNA from 1 species
AUUGAACGCUGGCGGCAUGCUUUACACAUGCAAGUCGAACGGCAGCGCGGGCUUCGGCCUGGCGGCGAGUGGCGAACGGGUGAGUAAUGCAUCGGAACGUGCCCAGUAGUGGGGGAUAGCCCGGCGAAAGCCGGAUUAAUACCGCAUACGACCUGAGUGUGAAAGCGGGGGACCGAAAGGCCUCGCGCUAUUGGAGCGGCCGAUGUCGGAUUAGCUAGUUGGUGGGGUAAAGGCUUACCAAGGCGACGAUCCGUAGCUGGUCUGAGAGGACGACCAGCCACACUGGGACUGAGACACGGCCCAGACUCCUACGGGAGGCAGCAGUGGGGAAUUUUGGACAAUGGGGGCAACCCUGAUCCAGCCAUGCCGCGUGCGGGAAGAAGGCCUUCGGGUUGUAAACCGCUUUUGUUCGGGAAGAAAUCCUCUGGGCUAAUACCCCGGGGGGAUGACGGUACCGGAAGAAUAAGCACCGGCUAACUACGUG